rnacentral:lncRNA from 1 species
CUUUCAUCAGUGCACUGCAGGACCAGACUAUUUGGAGAAGAGAGAAGCAAGAGAUAGUUGGAAUUGAAUAUUUCCUAGGCCUUUCCACACUACAUGAAUAACUCAAGGCCUUCAAGCCGAUACCGGAGAAGGCAGAGCCGAUCGUGAAGACACUUUGCCUCAUGCAAUGCCUCAUAGCUGUAAAGAGGAGUAUGGAAAUGCAGAUCUUAAUGCGAUGAUCAAUCACUGGAAAUCUUAACAAGAUGGGCUACCCAUCGUUAGUGCUUGCGGAAGUCAAGAUACAGACUUUGUAGAAACUGGAACAGAGCCAAGGGCAGCUAAAUGAUUUGCCAUGCCUAGUGCAAAAUGAAAAUGUGGAACCCUUGUUCAAACAUUAAGAAUUUCAAGAUGGCUACAUUAGAGAAUUAAACAAAGUACAAGGACCUUCUAAGUGGUAUACCCAUGAAGCUGGCUCUGCAGAAAGCCUCUAAGUUCAGGAGUACCACACAGAGGGGAGGGCAGGUAUGAGGCAUGGUACUGAAAGUGAAAUUACAUAAAUAUCUAUACGCUCAAUGGUGAGGUGCCAAUCCUCCACCCUCAAUGACAGCCUACUGUCAUUCAGGCUAUAACUCCCUUGAGAAGUCUGGAGGCCCCACCUACUGAGGAACUGAACUACCUUAGAGAAAGAUACUGGCAUUUGGUAGUUUCCAGCAUAAAUUCUAUCUGGCUGCCCAAAUACACACACUGACAGACCGCCUGGAGAUAAUUUCCAGCCACCUGGAGACAAGCCCCACCCAUAUACACAGAGCUUCUGGAGGCUUUUGGUGUUUCACUAAGAAAGAGUUCCCAGGUACUUGAGGAAAUAAAUAACAACAGCAACACAAAAAGAGCUAUAAACAGAGAAAAAAGAACAGAGAGACAAUAGAGACAAUGCAGGGAGCAGAAUGACAUUUUAGAGAGAAAAUGUUAAUAUUAAAAAUAGUCAUAAUCAAACUAGUGUCAAAUUGCCUUUUGGCAACACUUUUCCCUUCAUACUUUCUCCUGUAACACAGAAGCUGGAAGCUGGGGAGCGUCAUUUCUCAAAAUCUUUGCCAGCCAGCAGGUUCAACGCCAAUGUGAGGCACUUUCAUGAUCCAGAUUCAGAAAGCAGAAGAACAACGAAAGCUGCUCUGGCUACUUCAGGAUUGGAAAGCAAAGAUGUGAUUUUAACAGGCAGCAGGUGUGCAGUGUCGCCAGCAGCUUUCAGGCAUUCUCUUGUGAAAAUUGCUUUGGUGUUGCAGACAUCAAUCAUGCUUUUCUGAGAUUCCUAUAUCUUCCUUAUUUCCUGAAAGGCAGGGGUGGCUUUAUCUAAUCUAUGUUUCAUAGUCUUUCCAUAUUUUUAAGAACCCAUUUCUCUGAAUUAAAUAUGUUCCUGCUUGAAAUAUCCAGUGGAGUUUGUUUUCUGACAGAUCUCUGACUGAUAAAAUAAUAGGUAACAUUUAUAUAGCGUUUGUUAUGUAGCAAGAACUGCUCUUUAUUAUAUUUUAUGUUUGAAGUAUAUAUUAUUAAUUUUAACUAUAAUUUUUAUAUUAUUCAAAUGCCAAGCCGUUAGAAAAAUACGUACGUGACACAUACCGUGAUACAUGGUUUAUCUUCCCAUACUCCCUAUUCCCAUCCCAACAGUAUGUAACAAUUUUAAAUAUAUUUCUGUUUAUCUUUCUAGUUUUUCUAAUUGAAAAUAUCAACAUCUUGAAUAAAAAAACCAAAGAGGAAUAAUAUGAUAUUUAUGGUAUAUGCUGGGGGAUUGAAAAUAUAUCUAAUAGGAGGUCUCCAAAGAGAAAACUAAGAAAAUGGAUGGAGUAUUAUACAAAAACAGCAAAAAGAUAUUUUCCCAGAACUGAAAGAAAUGGUUAUAUAUUCUAAAAGCUUCAUUGAGUACUCAGCAUAAAGAUCUACCCAAAGGCAUGUAAGAACACCAGGGAUACAGAGAAGAUCUCACAAAUUUCAGGAAAAAAAAACAAUUGCAUGCAAAGAAUUAGGAAUUUCAAUGCCGUGAGACUUUCAAAGUAGUAGUGGACACUAGAAGACAAUAGAAUAAUGCCUUCAAUAUUCUGAGUGAAAUGAUUUUAAUCCAAAUUUUAUACCCACCCUAAGUAUCAAUCAAGUAUAAAGUCAAUGUUAGGACAUUUUAUUGAUAUCAAAUUCUCAAAAAUAUUAAGCUUCUCUGUAUUCCUUCUUAAGUCACUGGAGGAUAUGCUCCACCAAGAUGAGGAAGAAAACAAAUAUAGAGUAAAAUAUGGGAUCCAGGAAACAGGGAAUCCAACACAGGAAAGAGAAGUAGGCAUUCCAAGGACCAUACUUUUAUAGCAGAAGACUUGGUGGGCAAUUAGACCAGAUAGGAACAUGAAGACAGAAGGUGAAAAAUAGAGCUGAUAGAUUGUCUGAAGUUUGAUGUCAGGACUAUGCAAGAGAUUUGAAGAAAAAUAAGCAGAU